UUUCAUAUAUUUUAUAUUUAGAAUUUAAUAUUGAAGAUAUUAAGGGGGAUUUUAUUCUAUGAAUA
rnacentral:tRNA from 1 species